rnacentral:lncRNA from 1 species
UCUUCCCGUCUCUGUCCUCGCUCUCCCAUUUCCUCGCUCUCUUUUCCUUCUCCCGAUCCUUUCCGUGCCCUAGAAACUUCUAAAAAACCCCGUUCCUCGCACUCGUCAGCGAUCUCGGUUCCUCUUUCUCCUUCUCUCCCCCUCUUCCUCAAAACAUAGCGGACACAAUCUAGGAUUUCUCUUCUCGGAAUUCUGAGAUCGGGAAAAUGGCUGACGCGUUCGAGGACGAGGCAGAGCAGACGGUCUCGAAGCAGAAGAGCUGGUACGGAUCUUUUUAUCUUUUCUUUACUUGAAAAAUAAAUCGGUGAUUUUAGGGCAUUUAUAGUUUUUUUUUCUUGCUGGAUUUAUUUCCAUUACCCUGUUGAUUGGAAACCCUAGGAAGCUGACUUCGUUCUGGGAGGGGACGAGGGCAAGGAGUGGACUCAUGCUAACGGGUACAUGAAGAGGCAAGCGAUAGCCAGCAACGCAGGGGUUUGCACGGCCUGUAGCCUCUCCUGAUGAAAAGAUAAAAUAAAAGGGGAGAAAAACAAUCGCCACCGCUGUAGCGAGACUGGUGAACUCUCUAGUUUGCUUAGCCAGAACUUAGUCUCGUGGUUGUAUCUCACUCAAUCUGAGAGUCCAUCUCUUAUAGAAGCGCUCCAAUGUUGGGAUUCUAAAACCAGAUGGAAGCUGCGACAAUUCUGUGUCAUCCAUUCUCCAACGGAUAAUUUAGUUUUAGACUCACGUAUUUGCUACGAUGGAGUACCGAGAUACUCCAUUUAUUUGGGUUUCAUGGCCACAGCGAUCAACAUCUCCUGCCACAAUGGCUAUGAGGUAGAAGGGAUCCUCUCUUAUCUG